AUCGUCGAGGUGCUGGCCCACGCUCCCCGGGUCGCUCCCGGGCAGACGUGGCGCUCCGAGGCCGGACACCUGUUCUACGCCGUGCGGUGGCGCCA
rnacentral:tRNA from 1 species